GAUUUCUGACUGACCGUCCUGGCCCGCUUCUUUUACGGGAGUGAGUGCCGGUACGAGUUUGUCAUCCUUCUAGAAAGCCGCGCCUACCGUUCAUUCGUGCGGGCGUGUGCGGUCUAGAUCUUUUACUUUGAAAAAAUUAGAGUGUUUAAAGCAGGCUUUUUGCUAUGAAUACAUUAGCAUGGAAUAAUAAUUUAGGACUUUGGCCCUAUUUUGUUGGUUUCUAGGACUGAAGUAAUGAUUGAUAGGGAUAGUUGGGGGUGCUCGAAUUCAGCGGCCAGAGGUGAAAUUCUUGGAUUCGCUGAAGACGAACUCAUGCGAAAGCAUU
rnacentral:rRNA from 1 species